CUGAGUUAGUUUGCCGCUGUGGUUUUCUUCAAGAUGGCGGGGCUGCAGUUGAAGCAGUAUGGCGGCGCAUGGAGAAUAAAAUAAUUUAGAAAGGUAGUCAGAUACCCAGUAGGAGACAGCCGUUUCAUAUUUAUCGCUCCCAGAAGAAACCAGUGGAGGAUGAUCAGUGCCUAGAUCCCAUAUUAAGCUGAAUGCAUUGUGAUUUCCAAUAAUUGAGACAGUGAUUCUGAAAGCUGUCUGCAUUAAUGAAAAGAACAAUGUAGUCAGCUUAGCAUUUUCACCUCUGGUACGUGGUCUAUACAGGGAUGUGCUUCUGCAUGCAUUCUGGGUUUAGAUAAGAAAGUCUCUCAACAGAUCAGCUUUUAAGAAUAAACACAUCGGUCUGUAUAAGUUGUAAUUCGUUAUACAGAGGAAAUGGAAAUAGAUGAUGUGCUACCCCCUCUCCCCUUGGAGCCACCUGAUGAUUUUGGCCAAGAUGAGGGCAGGGCACCUCCACCACCUCCCCUGCAAACGUCCAGUGACGCAGAGGUAAUGGACGUUAGCUCUGGUGGUGAUGGAUACACAUACACCCCAGGGGACGGGGAAGCCAGCCCACAGCAGGCCCUCAGCAAGGGCUCCAUAACUUUCUAUAGCCACCUCUCAGAUGAGGCCAAUGCUAUCCCACCAUGUCCUAGAACAGCCCGCCAUGCUCCCCCAGUCACCGGGUUCCUACCAGACCUAAAGCUCCUUAGAGACGUUAAGAUCAGCGUAAGCUUCACUGAAAGCAGCAAUAGCAAAGACAGGAAGGUGUUGUACACAGGUGAAGGGCAGGAAGGAGGAAGUGAUGACGGUUUAGACGGCGUAAAUGGUGAGUUGCACGACUCGACUAAUGAGCAGGAAGUAGCCGAGGGUAGCUCUAGAGCAGGAAUCCGAGCAGGCAGAAGAUCAGAGGAGGCUGAGGUAGACGCGGAAAACAAGGUAGAGUUCGCCGUCCUGGAUGAGUUGGAUGACUUCUACGAGAACUUCCUGGAUGACGACGACGUGGAACAUGGUGGCUUUAAGUCCGAUGUCAUAGUUCAGCAGGAGCAAGCUGAUGAGGAGGCCGUAGCUUUCGCCUAUGAGGAGGAGUUUGACAAUGAUGUCGAUGCUCUGCUGGAGGAGGGCAUGCCAGUCCCAAAAAAGAUGCGUCCGGCAGAGGACAAAUUUGGCGGGGACAGUGAUCAUCAGUCAGAUGGUGAAGGAGGUGUUCAUCCCAUGAUGACCAAAAUUAAGACUGUCCUGAAGAGUCGUGGCCGUCCACCUACUGAGCCUCUACCUGAUGGAUGGAUCAUGACAUUCCAUAACUCGGGCAUUCCAGUCUACCUGCACAGAGAGACCAGGGUGGUUACCUGGUCCAGACCCUACUUCCUUGGGACGGGCAGUAUAAGGAAACAUGACCCUCCUACCAGCAGCAUUCCUUGCCUACACUACAAGAAAAUGAAGGAUGUUGAGGAGAAGGAGCUGAAUGGGGAGGUGGCUCUUAAUGACGUGGAGCCUCCUGUUAAGCUUUCCGAUGAGGUGAAUGGUGAACAGAGUGCAGGCCCGUCAGAUGCUCCAGCUGAGGAGCAGGACGAUGUUCCUCCCUCCAGUAUGACAGACGGCGACCCAGAUGUAGAGGCUACCACUAAUAACAGCCUGCAGGUUAAAACGCUUGGUGACUUUGCCCACGGAGCCUUAGGACAAGUUAAGGCCAAGGUGGAGGUGUGCAAGGACGAGUCCAUAGAACUUGAAGAGUUUCGUCUGUACCUGGAAAAAUGCUUUGACUUUGAACAAGUCACAGUAAAAAAGUUUCGUACGUGGGCUGAGCGGAGGCAGUUCAACAGAGACAUGAAGAGGAAGCAGGCGGAGUCGGAGAGACCGAUCCUGCCCGCCAACCAGAAACUCAUCACACUGUCGGUCCAAGAUGCACCAACUAAGAAAGAAUUUGUCAUCAACCCUAAUGGGAAAUCUGAAGUUUGCAUCUUACAUGAAUAUAUGCAGCGUGUCCUAAAAGUUCGACCUGUUUACAACUUUUUUGAAUGUGAGAAUCCAAGUGAACCCUUUGGAGCAUCAGUCGUUAUAGAUGGAGUAACGUACGGCACAGGAACCGCAAGCAGUAAAAAACUUGCUAAGAAUAAAGCUGCUCGAGCCACACUGGAAAUCCUCAUCCCCGACUUUGUGAAGCAGACCUCUGAGGAGAAGCCUGUUGAGGGUGAUGAACUGGAGUAUUUCAAUCAUAUCAAUAUAGAAGACUCAAGAGUGUAUGAGCUGACCAACAAAGCAGGACUACUUUCGCCAUAUCAGAUUCUUCAUGAGUGCCUUAAAAGAAACCAUGGAAUGGGAGAUACUAGCAUUAAAUUUGAGGUGAUCCCUGGGAAAAACCAGAAGAGUGAAUAUGUGAUGACGUGUGGGAAGCACACCGUGCGUGGCUGGUGCAAGAACAAGAGGGUUGGCAAACAACUAGCAUCUCAGAAGAUCUUACAGAUGCUUCAUCCCCACGUCAAGAACUGGGGUUCACUGCUGCGCAUGUACGGCAGAGACAGCAAUAAGAUGGUCAAGAAGGAGAGCUCUGACAAGAGUGUGAUUGAGCUCCAGCAGUUUGCCAAAAAGAACAAGCCAAACCUUCAUAUUUUGAACAAACUGCAAGAGGAAAUGAGGAAACUAGCCACACAGAGGGAGGAAACGAGGAAGAAACCCAAGAUGACCAUAAUGGAGUCUGCCCAGCCGGGCAGCGAACCCCUCUGCACUGUUGACGUUUAAGUCUCGAAAUCACUGAAGGAACCACAGCACUGAAACCCAGUCACUGUCAGACGUCACACACACACACACAACCAACCAACCACCCGCCACCUAAUUAUGCAUCACUGAGAUCCAAUGGCAAUAUAGUUCCACAUUGACCUGGCCAGGUAGAACUGCUUCCUUUGCCCGUGUUUUAUUGGUUCAGCUGGUAGAUGUGAGGGUAGGUCUUAAUGCACUAACAGACCGUAGAGCAAAUAUCGUCUACCUCUCUAGAUGCAUCCUCGCUAUGCCACUAGAAAAAUAAAAAUCACCCAGACUACAGAGAAGUUAAUGUGACUUGAUUACACCUGAACACAUCAAAAUAGAAAUGCAUGUUUGUUUGAUUGUCGUUUUUAACAGUCGCAAUAGUACCAGCACCUAUUGGUUUUGUUUGUGCUUACAGUAUUUGAAAGGGACUACUAAUACUUGUGUAUUUAUACCAUACGUUUUAAUUAGGGAUACAAAGUUACUUGUUUAUUGGGUAUUUUGCUGGUUGGUGUUCUGGGUAUUUUGGCUGAUGAAUGCAAAAUAUGCCGAGUUAGUUUUGCCUCAGAAUGGACACUUGCUGUUUUGGUUUGCACGAUUAAAAACAUGCGUUGUGAAGUGAUGACUAUUCAGAACUAUUAUUAUGUACUUGUGUCUGGUCAGAAAUUUUUGUUUACUGAUCAUCUUGGUACAAGAUUUUCUGAUUUUAGAAUAUUUGGGGUGACUUACUUUUGGAGGGAAUUGUUGCCUUUUUUUCCGUCUUUUGCUUUGGCAAUACAAGUCUCAUCCUGUUUCCAUGCCAACACUGCAGUAAGCCCAAGCACUCUAAUAUGUUAAGGGCAAAUUAUCAUUUCUUUUAUGCUCUAAGUUCUUGCUAGCUAUAAGUACUAAUGCCAUGCACACAAACUCACUGUUUGGUACUUUUCCGUAGCUUUUCCAUUUUGGUGCCCUUAAGAAAUUACGUUGGCUACGUGUUGCCUUAGUUCAUCCAUUUUAUGAAGGGCUCAAAGUAUAAUAAAGUACAUUGGACCUAAUACACCCUUCAACAGGAAGAAGAACGACCAAGUCCCCUUUACUUGAUAAAGCAUUUAUUGUGAAAGCCAGUUAGUAUUUUAAAGAACAGCUGUAAGACAU